rnacentral:rRNA from 1 species
UAGGGAAUCUUCCACAAUGGACGCAAGUCUGAUGGAGCAACGCCGCGUGAGUAAAGAAGGUUUUCGGAUCGUAAAGCUCUGUUGUUGGUGAAGAAGGAUAGAGGCAGUAACUGGUCUUUAUUUGACGGUAAUCAACCAGAAAGUCACGGCUAACUACGUGCCAGCAGCCGCGGUAAUACGUAGGUGGCAAGCGUUGUCCGGAUUUAUUGGGCGUAAAGCGAGCGCAGGCGGAAUGAUAAGUCUGAUGUGAAAGCCCACGGCUCAACCGUGGAACUGCAUCGGAAACUGUCAUUCUUGAGUGCAGAAGAGGAGAGUGGAAUUCCAUGUGUAGCGGUGGAAUGCGUAGAUAUAUGGAAGAACACCAGUGGCGAAGGCGGCUCUCUGGUCCGCAACUGACGCUGAGGCUCGAAAGCAUGGGUAGCGAACAGG